rnacentral:tRNA from 1 species
GUUCCUAUAGUUAAAGUAUAUAACGACGGCUUUUCGGGCCGUAGGUCUCGGAUGAGGGCCCGAGUAGGAAUU